GUGGGGAAUAUUGGACAAUGGGCGAAAGCCUGAUCCAGCCAUGCCGCGUGUGUGAAGAAGGUCUUCGGAUUGUAAAGCACUUUAAGUUGGGAGGAAGGGCAGUAAGUUAAUACCUUGCUGUUUUGACGUUACCGACAGAAUAAGCACCGGCUAACUUCGUGCCAGCAGCCGCGGUAAUACGAAGGGUGCAAGCGUUAAUCGGAAUUACUGGGCGUAAAGCGCGCGUAGGUGGUUUUGUAAGUUGGAGGUGAAAUCCCCGGGCUCAACCUGGGAACUGCCUCCAAAACUGCAUGACUAGAGUACGGUAGAGGGUAGUGGAAUUUCCUGUGUAGCGGUGAAAUGCGUAGAUAUAGGAAGGAACACCAGUGGCGAAGGCGACUACCUGGACUGAUACUGACACUGAGGUGCGAAAGCGUGGGGAGCAAACAGGAUUAGAUCCCUGGUAGUCC
rnacentral:rRNA from 1 species